AUUGAACGCUAGCGGGAUGCUUUACACAUGCAAGUCGAACGAGACGCGGACGGGUGAGUAAUAUAUCGGAACGUGCCCAGUAGCUGGGUAUAACUACUCGAAGGAGUGGCUGAUAACGCAUACUAUGGGAGCGGCCGAUAUCGGAUUAGCUAGUUGGGGGGGUAAAGGCUCACCAAGGCAACGAUCCGUAGCUGGUUUGAGAGGACGACCAGCCACACUGGGACUGAGACACGGCCCAGACUCCUACGGGAGGCAGCAGUGGGGAAUUUUGGACAAUGGGGGAAACCCUGAUCCAGCCAUCCCGCGUGUAUGAGAAGGCCUUCGGGUUGUAAAGUACUUUUGGCAGAGAAGCGGUACCUGCAGAAUAAGCACCGGCUAACUACGUGCCAGCAGCCGCGGUAAUUC
rnacentral:rRNA from 1 species